rnacentral:rRNA from 1 species
CCUACGUGUGGCAGCAGUGGGGAAUAUUGGACAAUGGGCGAAAGCCUGAUCCAGCCAUGCCGCGUGUGUGAAGAAGGCCUUCGGGUUGUAAAGCACUUUCAGUGGGGAAGAAAGCCUUGGGGCUAAUACCCUCGAGGAAGGACAUCACCCACAGAAGAAGCACCGGCUAACUCCGUGCCAGCAGCCGCGGUAAUACGGAGGGUGCGAGCGUUAAUCGGAAUUACUGGGCGUAAAGCGCGCGUAGGCGGUCUGAUAAGCCGGUUGUGAAAGCCCCGGGCUCAACCUGGGAACGGCAUCCGGACCUGUCAGGCUAGAGUGCAGGAGAGGAAGGUAGAAUUCCCGGUGUAGCGGUGAAAUGCGUAGAGAUCGGGAGGAAUACCAGUGGCGAAGGCGGCCUUCUGGACUGACACUGACGCUGAGGUGCGAAAGCGUGGGUAGCAAACAGGAUUAGAUACCCUAGUAGUC